UAACAGUUUUGAAUGAUUCACGGAUAGUUUCACGAGACUUAUAUCAACCGGAAUAUGAACCGUGAUUACCUUUUGGAUUGUUUUUGAGCUCCCGAUAUUACAAAAGGUAAUCACGGUUCAUAUCCCGGUCGAUAUAAGUCUAGGAAAAAAAUAUUCAAUAUUUCAUUAAAUAUGUCAUUUUUAAUAUGAGUAAUAUCAAAAUAUUUAAGAAUUUAUUUAUAAAAGUAAUCAAUAAUCAUGCAAUCACGAUGGUCGAAAUUGAAACUGACUUCAACAUUGUUGAUAAUGACUGGGGAAGGUAUAUAACGUGGACUUACCUUGAAGAUGGGUCUGGCAUGCCUCGGCUGGGUCGGGGCAGCCGUCGUGGUGGCGACCGCCGGCGCCGCCGCUGGCGUCGUCACGUGGUCCGCCGGCAAGGACUCCGGCACCGUUUGCAGAGUCGGCCGCAUCGUUGUCGACAUUUUCA